UGAUGAUGAAGCCUCAAUCAAUGGCACAAACCCACUAUGGGGGAUAGGCCACAAAUCGGGUGGUAAUAUGAUUGAAUAAAUAAAAGAAUUUGGUUAAUAAAUAACUAACACAAAAAGUAAAGUAAAUAUAUAAUCCAAGAUGAAAAAUAAACUGUGAAUACAUGAGUAAAACUAGUGAUCAAUACUAUAGUAAACCUUGCCUUGAUAGGAAUACAAAAAAAAGGAAGGAAAGAAUAAUAAAAAAACAUAUACUUAAACUUGAGUAAGCUAAAUUUUUGAAUAAUAAUACUAGAAGGAUUUAAACUGUGCAUUCUGCACAGGUGCCGCUAUUUCCCAAGGAUCUACAUCUUCAUCUACCUAGAUUUGUUCUGGCGCCCUCCCGCUUCUGCUCAUAUUGUGGUGAUAAGACGACGCACCACUUCUGCCUAUCACGCCGCCGUUUUUCAUCAUUAAAAUAUUUUAGAAGGACCAUUUCGCUGUCUUGGAUUGAGUCUUGCCAUUCCCCGAUAUUCUGCCUUUGGGAGCCUCCUCUCUCAGACGUUGUCACAGGGAUGUCGGUGCAGCUGUUGUAAAGCUUAUAGCUGAAUCAGGAUGAUUUCCUUUCUAAACGCUUAAAUCUUUAUUUUAUUGUACUUCUCAUUCUUUUCUAAAUUCGGCUAAAUAUAUUACCUAAUUCAUCGAAUUCUUGGCGAAUCCCCCAUAUAGUGGGUACUUGCCAUCUAAAAGAGGGAAAACGAACGAAACCAAAUUGGUGAUUCUCCUCUUGUGCACUCUGUCAGCCGACAAUCGCAGACCCUCACUCUCCCUAAUUAUGCAAUCCUUCAUCGCCUGUAGCGUAGACUAGGCGACCCCGUCUGUCAGGUCUGUGGGCAUCUUCCUAAGGUGGUACACGUGUACUGGGAAUGUCCGCGCGCCCAUCCUUCACCCUACAUCAUCAAACGCGACAACAUCCCCCCGUCCUUACACCUGUGCAAAUUGGGCCGUCCCACCCAAGACUUGCGCCAGACUCUGGCUCCUCCUGGUGCGCCGCGUUCGCCACAACAUCCAUGGGGCGAUUGCGCCCAUCGCCAUUCAGCUAGAGUUACCUGCGGGACCGAUAUACAGUAACUCUACAUGGAUGGAUAGAUGGAUGCUAUGAGCGUCCCUUUUGGAACGGGGUAGUGGGUUGCGCUACCAAACUCUAGUUACUAUAUUGCCCAAUGUCCUACCUAUGUUAAAAAGAAAAAAAAAGAAAAGGAAAAAGGAACCACGAUGAAUUCCCAUAACCAAACUUUCUGAACCCCUAUUAUGAGUUUUGUUUUCGUACGCCUGCGUUGUUUGUCGUUUCCUAUACUUCCACCAAUCUUCCAAUCGCCUUUACUGAUCUCUAUUGCGGACAUGUUUACGUUCCUCCUCCUCUCGCUGACCCUAAGGCCCUCAAGGAGACCAAAGGUGCCCAAAUCGACCGCUGGGCAGAUAUCUUCACAUUAUCAUAAAACAUGCUCCAUCGUUUGUGUAGCUUUGCCGCAACAAAAAUAUGCUUGCUUGCACAAGCCGUGACGACUCCCACUAGAGCCUUCAUGCUAUAAAGUAUUCUUUCUUAAACUACUUCCUACCGCCCGAUUUAGGCAUAUCCCCCCGUAGUGGGUGCGCUCUAUAAACGAGAACUACAUCAUCAUCAUCAUCAAACGGCCAUCAUGCCUUGACCAAGGCUGGGCCGAGCAAAAUUCCCUGGACAGUCGAAAAGCCGACCGUGGACAACGGACACGUCUCCGCGAUUCGACAAAAUUAGGUCCCGCCGAAAUUCGCGUGGCACGGCAGGGCCCGCUCCUUUCCAAAUGAAAACAUCAUGAAGUGGUUCAACGGCAACAUGCUUCAGGCCAUCGCCGAGGCCCACAACCGACGCGCCCUGCUCCUGGUGUUCGUCGAGGGCGACGACAUGGCAUCGCGUAACAUGCGCUCCACCUUCGAGGACGCCGAGGUGAACAAGCUCAUCGACGUCAUGGGCUGCGUUCCGAUACGGCUCCGGGUAAACAGCAGCGCCUGCCGCCAGUUCGCCCUCGUCUACCCGGUGACCGCCAUUCCGUCCACGUUCUUCAUCAGCUCGCGCGGCAACCUCGAGGCCUCCAUAGUGGGCUUCACCGACCCGGUGUCCCUCAGCGACCGACUCGCGAAGCUCAUGGCCUCGUGCACCCUCAGGAAGGUUGAUUCGGACAUGCGCAACGCGAGCGAAACGAGCAUGUCCGUCGACCGCAUGGCGCGCGCGAACCGCCAGUCGUCGUCGGCGCGCCUUCAAGUCGCAGCCCCGGCGGCUGAAGGCGUCGCCAAAAAACGCAGCAGGGGCGGAGAGCGACGCUCCAAGAAGAAACACAAGCGACAAGAGGCCAACGUGCAGACCAGUAUCGUGGUGCUCGCCGAACAGUCAACGCAGAUCAACAUGGACGACAAGCGGUCGUACAACAGCCUGCUCCAGAAGCUGGCAGCGAUGGAAGAGGCCACGUUAGUUCCGCCCGCCACAGUCGCCACGGCCAAGGUACACGGCGACCUGGCUGGAGACUUGGCGUCGCUGAUGGGAGACAGCUAUGAAAAGAAAGACCCGGGAAUAACACCGGAAGAACUCAGUGGGAAUCCGCUCGCCGGAAUCGCGGGGGCAGCGACGGGUGACGAGUCCGUCGACGUUGAGAAGAAAGAUAAGCCUGCCGCUUCGAACGCCAAAAACAGUUCGAACCAGCAGGCACGCCGGGGAUCGCACAAGAAAUCUCCCAAGGGGAAGAACGAGAUUAAUGCAACCAUGCCACCACAGCCGCCGCCUCCUCCACCACCGCCGCCAGGAGCAGAAGCCGUUCGCACGACUGAGGUAGAGAACCCGACCAGCGUCGCCGUUAGUGAUGCUCCGCUCGUAGGAUUGGACGACAUCGAUUCGCUGUUGUGCGACGACGCGGACGGUCCCGCAUUGCUAAUUAAGUUCGCCGUGCUCGCGCAGGAGUUUGCCGACAAGGUCUUGGGUAGCUCGCAGUACGAGCAGUCGGACUACAAGUCUUUGGAAACGUCGGCCGCGGAGACAACCAAGGUAUCUGUGGACGUAAGGAGACUCGCAGAGCCUGCUCGGAAGCAGAAGUCCAAGAAGGAACGGCAAGCCACCAAAUCAAAGGCGUCACCUCUGGCCAAGAACGUCGAAAUUUACGCGAAGGGGGAAAGGCAGAGGCAACAUGCGGACGCGUACAAGAGGCCGUGCCAGUUGGAGAACCUGCAGGGAAACCUGGGCGACGCUGCCGAAGCGAUAGCGGCUUUGGAAGAGGCCGCCUUAGAACAGGCUGGAUACAAGGACACUUGGCCGAAAAAGCGAAGGGCUUCUUCAGGCGCACGUUCUCAGAAGCAGCCGUGUAAUUCAGACGCACAACAGUCCAGCAGCCCAGAUCAGCAGGCCAAGCAAGGUUCUGAGAAACGCAAAAAGCAUCGCGAAUUGCCAACGAAAGACAACGCGGGAGACUCGAACAAAGUCGCGGCGACGUUGAAGAAGGUGGCUGCAAAGGCAGCGGCAGUGCCUUGCUCCACGACUAGAACGCAGGACACCGGCCUCAGCGAACUCGCCCAGAAGAUCAAGCACUUCGAAUCAGCCGCUUCCAAGGCCUCUCAGGACGCGAAGGCCACCCUGGCUGAGAAGAAAGGAAAGAGGUCUAAGAGCGCUUCGCCGCCCAAGCCGCCAGCAAACGACACCUCGACGAAAUCUCCCGAGCACGGGUCGCCGCGAACGUACGUUCAAAUGCCGUCCCCGCCGCCAAUAUCGACGGUGCCACUCGAACAAAACGUCUCUGUCGUUCGCAUGCGACCGGGAAUCCACACCAUCACCGAGGAAGAAACCGGCGCCAUCGACUCUUGCCUCACUUCUCCGCAGCCCACCCCACCGCCACCGCAAUCGCCUCUUCCUGCAGAUGCUCGGACUCGACCGGAAAUCCAGAAAACUGCGCAAGAGGCGCUCCACAAAUCCUCUGGGAAGAAGCCCGCGAGCGAAGCGGCGGCUCCGCCGCUUUCGCUGCCUCAGGCAACGCCACCGCAGCAGCACCAGCAGACAACGCGCGCCACAGUGGCUCAGAAUCGCAAUUCUCCUCAGUCGUGGAAGAGCGGGCGGAGGCCCUCGAGUCCCACAAAAAGCAAGGAGUUCCUUACGGCCAGCAACUCCCAGCUGGAAGACGCGGUCGUCUUCGGUCCCACGCACCGCAGAAACGAUGACAGCGCUGCCGCGACGACGAAAAGGGCGCCGCCGUCGCAUUUGCGACCGACAGAACAGAGGGCGGCGGCGGCCAGGAGCCCGCACUACGAGCGCCUCGUGAAUAGCGACGGUGACGACGAGACCGUGGACGACGAACUGACUGCUCGCAGGACUCCCUCGGCCGCCGCGUUCAGAAGCGAGGCUGACUGGAUGGAUGAGAUGGCUCGCACGGCGUCCAGGCGCACCCUUCUUUACCGGGCGGGGGUUCUCGAGGAGUCGCUGAACAACCUGUGUCGCACGCUGAAUGACGUGGAAGGUCCCACGAUGUCUCUGAGCGUCGGCGCCCACUCGCGCACCAACAUUGCCAAGGUACAAGCAGCAGCAGGUCGGGAACGCGGAUCACCGGUACCGACAACGCCGGCAGCGCCCCCUGCCUCGUCGCCGAGCAGGCAGCACGUCCACGUCACCAUAAACGACCAGAAGGAAGACGGCGUCGACGAGGAAAAGGCGAGCGCCGUCGAGGUCGCUGUGAGUACCAAAGCGACGCAUCGUGUCUCGCUGUCGGGUACAAACGUCCGCAACCGGGCCCGAAGCCGUCUGUCGCCGAGCCGCCCGGGUGGCAGCAGCGGCAGUCGAUCCCCGAGCGCCGAAUUGUCGCAGGCCUCCGGAGGCGGCAACGCUCGCAAGUCGGCGAGCUUCACGCCAACGGUAGUUAGCGGCCGCGCCGGCGGCGGCGCUGACGAUGCGAACAUCGUUCUCAACCUGCCGAACGGCAGCUCGGUGCAGAAGUCGUUUCCGGCGUCCGCGUACCUGGACGAAGUGCGCUGGUACACCGAGGAGCUGCUGGCCUCGGCGCUUCCCUCCUGCUUCCCGUUCACCAUGGCUCGGACCAACCCGCUGCGCGAGUUCUCGCGCGAGGACUACCGCAAGACGCUCGGGCAGCUGCACCUGGCGCCGUCGGCGACGCUCCUUGUGUUACCCAGCAUCUGAGCAAGGCACAUACCCGUAUGCUCUCCCCCUGGGGUGCACAUGGACACGCCGAUCAUCGGGACCUUCUUUCAUCGGCGCCCCCAUCCAAGCGAAGGCAGCUAGACCUCUCUCAAGCACCGAGAUUGCCGAAUCGGGGAACCUUGGAUCGCCGACACUACGCCGCCUGAGGCUGCCUUCGAUGGUCUACAGUGGUCUUUGUCCAAGUGCUCCUGGCCUACGCUUUCUACUACCUACAAUGAACGAAACUCUUCUUUUUCAUUUUUUUUUUUUUUUGAGGAGGCCAUCGACACGAUAACUGCGUGCUAGUGUGGAUUUCAUAUUUCUCUAGGGGGAAAAGAUUGCAAGCGACUUUACAUUUAAAGAAUAAAUACACGACUGUUUUACGCUUUCAGUGCACUGUUUUCUUUAUAAGGACACCACUCAAAAUACAGUCGUUUCCUUAAUUUGCGGCAACAUAUCGCUGUGACAAUACAUGUCACGCUCGGGGCGGCGCUAACUAAACAUUAGUUUUACCUCGUCGAAUUGACCAUUGGUUUCAAUUAUCUGGUGGGUCACUUCAUAUAAAAAACGACUUUAGAUAGACAGGAAUGAAGAGCACCUAAUCUGCCAUCUUGCAGGUGCAUGUUCGACAACGUCUGCGUUGCGCCGUCAAUUUUCUGUAUUACCGAUGAGUAUUAGACGCAGAAGCCAUAGUGUUAAUUUUUUUUUUUUUUUUGCUGACGACCACUGCAAGAGGAGUAUGAAAUAAAGCCGGGUUGAUAGAUAAAUUAGAUUUCUGAUGUGCUAAAAUAACAGGUCGCGCUCGGCAAUCACCGCCAUUCCAGAAGUUGCGCAAUUCGUAGAAAACUCCAGUUGAUGUACCGCUUGUAGGAAAUGUACACGCGCAUGCCCAAAAUAUACACAAAACAAAUAAAAAAGAAAUCAACCCGACGGGAUAAAAGCAAAGACAGCGGCCACGCUGAUUGUCAACGUUGCCCGUUCGAAGAUAUGACAACACGCAGCAGAGUUGUUUUCGAGUGCGUAAUCCCGAUUAUGGUUUCUCCACUAGAAAAACACGUGUUUUACGUGGUAUCGCACUUGAGAGAGAGACUCCUUAUUAGAAAAACAGAUCUUUGCCGGCGCGCAUACAACAGGGGGCAUGACACUCUGUAUAGUGAUGGAGAAUGGGAUCAAAAGAUUCCUGAGGAGAGUGGGACAAAAAGAGAACAAAAAAAAUAUUAAAUGCGCAAGUAGACCUCAUACUAAUAUUUACAGGUGACAUGGUGGGUAAAUUGAGGAUUUUUUAUAUGAAAUGUUUAAACGUUAAAGCUUUCUUAUUAGACCAAUUUCUGACAGGUAUUUGAACAACAAAUCCAAAACCCGCCUCUGUUUUGA